GGAAGAGGAGGACAGUCGAAAAAUAAUCAUGGCGUCUUUGUAUUCUAAUGUUUUGGUCCUUUUCGCGUUGACGUGGUGCUGCACGGCAAUCAGUGUGCCCUAUUAUUGCAACAGGUGUAAGAUAUAUCUACAAGACCCUUACUGUCGGUAUUGCUGUUCAGUAUACAGAUGUUGUGGGAAAAGUAAUCCAAUGGAACAGUGUUCAUUGAUUCCAUGUGGUCCAGGCUGUGGCCCUGCUACAACUACAACCACUACUACGGCAACGGUAGCCACUACCACAUCCUCGACAAAAGCCACAACCACAACGGUGCCAACUACAACUCCAUC